rnacentral:lncRNA from 1 species
UCUCUUUCCCCAUUGUGCCCCCUCUCCUUCCGCUCGAAAACGAGCUCGCGAGAUCGCACUGUGGCUGUGUGUGUCAUCGCCGUUGCCGCGGCCUGAGUACUCCCCGGCGUUGGAGGAGUUGUCCAGGCGGACCGCCAUCAACCACCGCAUCUUCUUCGAGUCCCCGUUCAUCGGGAGCAGCACCACAACGACGGCAUCGACCGACUCCACCAACCUCGACCGCCGCCAUCUCGCCAUCGUCCCGUGAGCUCCGGCCAUCCCCAACCCCCUCGAGCUUGUCCACGACCUCCCCGCAGUGAGGCCCUCGUCCAAUUCCCCUCCCCCGCUUAGAAUUUGUCCCGUAGCCGCCGCCCUUAAGUUUGUCUGAAGCUCCGCGUGCCCAUUGGCCUGUGGCCGUGCUCACCACACCUAUACUGCGACCUGGGCUCAUCCCUGCCGCGCGCACGCGCCCAAGACAUCCCCUGGCCGCGUCCGCCUGGGCGUGCUGCGGCGGCUGCGCGCGCCCGUCACCCGCUCGCUCGGCUGCCCAUGCUGCUGCUUUUGCCGCCCGCGCCGUAGCUGCCCCGCGCCAUAGCGACCCACUCACCCGACACGCUGUUGCGGCUGUGCCCACCGUUGGCCUCGCCCCCGCGCUCGCUUGCGUGCUGCUCGCAGCCGCCGCAACUCGCGAGCCUCCCUGCAACGCCCUAUAGCGCGCGCACAUGCCCGUGGCCUCGCCGUCGCUGCCUAGCGCCUGCACGGCACCGCUGCACUCUGCUUCUGCUCCUCUGCUACAGUAACGUUCAGUUACUAUAGCAGAGGCUAGCUUUACUGCUUUUACACGGAGUAGCCCUCUAAACAACACUUAAGCAGCAGAAAAACAUGCUCUAGCAUAGAUAAAAAAUAUAUGGGCGUGUAGUACACUUGACAUGGUUCAAUUCUUUCCAUUGGCCGAAAUACAAAAGUCGCCUAGAUUAAUUCCUAUAAAAAUGACAAACGUCUAUGUUCUAUUAACUAGAAGAACUGAAAAACAGAUUCUGGAUUUGACAUCCAGUAGCACUUUUCAAACAAAGAUUUGGACAGGCAAAUGGGCACUAAUGUAGAUGAACUUGAAACUGUCAUCUAGAUCAUGAAAAGGUGAUAAAAAUUGGUAAAGGGCACUACGCCAUAGGAUGUACAAAACCACAGUUAUAGCCUUCGGAAAACAGCUAACUGAUGUUUAAAACUAAGCAAUUCUCAGACUUAGCCAAUUUUCCGGAAAUUCCAAAUAACUGUUUAAAACUAUGUAAAAUCAUAGAAAAUAAUCCGUAGCUCGGAUGAAAAUGUUUUCUACAUGAAAGUUGCUCAGAAAAAUCCAACGAAUCCAAAUACGCGGUCCGUUCAUCUGUCAUGUGCUCCUAGCAUGCCAAACAUGUAACCAUGUCCUCUCUUUCAUCUGUCCGAAAAAGCCAAACUUCACGAAAACUUUCCCGGAUGUUAUCCCCCUUCGCCGAUAUUGUGUAGCACUACGAUAGGUCACCCCUAGCGCCGCGUAUCGUCAUGUCCUACUUAUGUUUGCUUGUAUUUACUGUUUCUCCCCCCUCUUUCCUCCGGUAGACCCCGAGACCACUACUGAUGCCCCUGUGGUCGACUGCAUCACCGACAACCCUUUUUCCCUUUCAGCGGAGUUUCCAGGCAAGCAAACCCCCUUGAGCAUUCCGAUAUCGCCCAUUUCUUUCCCUCUCAUGCUUGCAUUAGAACUGCUACUGCUUUCUGUAUGAUCCUACUCUGAUGCACAGCCUGUUGUUGUUACCUGCUUUCAUACCUUACCUGCUUAUCCUAAACUGCUUAGUAUAGGUUUCUUAGUGAUCCAUCAGUGACCCUCACCUUGUCCCAGUUGCCCCACUUUAUGUUCGAUGACUCGAUCAACGUGAUCGAUGUCCAGGCCCCGACACUGCACAUCCCCCCUAGUUGUAUGAAUCUGCAGAAUUACCAUCGAGUGCCGAGGGUGGAACCUCUUACAUCACUCCUGAUGAGAUCUCUGUAGUGUAGUUAUACGGUCGAGGUCAUCGAGGGCGAUUUCCUCCUUAACCACUUCCGUUACCGCUCUAUCGUGCAACCCCUCAAGUGUGAACCUCGAGGGUGGAUCCUCUUACGUUCACCUUGAUGAUAACAUCGAGUGGGAUUCACCGGGGGUGAUUCCUCGGGUUUUCUCCUUGGUGUUAGACACACAGUUAUUACUAUGACUUUACACCGAGCCAUGUUACUAAAGACGGGUCGACCCUGAGGGGUACCCGCGUGAGCUUAUUUAGCGAGUGAUAUGGAGUCAGGUUGACCUGGAAGGUGCCCGCAAGAUACUUACGAGGCGUGGCCGGGCAUUCUUAGCCCUUGCCGCAAGUACUCGAGACGGGGCGACGGGGUCACAUCGAUCGUGAGUCUCUGCUCGCUACUGCGCGUUCCUAAUCCACUACGAUUUGGAUAUUUGAUCCAAGGGGCCUCUGGCCUGAUAGCACUAACCAUCACGUGGGCAUAGUAUGGGCGUUCUGCGUCGUAUACAUCAGCUGAAGCUUAAUAGACGUCAGCGACUGAGCAGCGCGCGCCGGGUUGGACUGGAAAGCACCUACCUUGUUGAAGGAGGUAGCUAGGUCUGCUCACCGGCCGCGUACGCAACGUGCAGGAGUUCCCGGGGAGAUGGCCUAUGACCCCUGGGGGCAUAGGUUUAGUCCGGCGUGCUAGCCUCUCUAUUGAGCCUAGGUCGGGUUGCGGCAUAUUGUUUGGCCGAGGCCGGGCAUGACCCAGGAAAGUGUGUCAGGCCGGAGUUAAUUGAGCGUGGUGGGUAAGUUGGUGCACCCCUGCAGGGAAGAAAACAUCUAUCGAUAGCCUGUCCUAUGGUAACGGACACUUGGAGUUGUAUCCCGAUCGAUACAACUAGAACUGGAUACAUGAGAUGAGAAUGGGAUUGUGAUGAUAACUGGAUAGUAUGGCUCUGGGAUUGCUUUCUCGCAGGGAGUCGAGAAAGGAUCUCUGGCCUAGGUUGAUAACACUUCUACUACUUUACUUUAUGCUACUCUACUCCUUCCUGUUGCUGCAAGAUGGUGGUUUCCAGAAGAUGCUAGUCUUCGAUAGGCUAGGCUUUCCCCUUCCCUUCUGGCAUUCUGCAGUUUAGUCCACAGAUACAACCCAUUCCUUUGAUACAGAUGCAUACUUAGUUUAGAUCUGAUGUAAGUCUUGCGAGUACUUUGGAUGAGUACUCAUGGUUGCUUUGCUACUUCUUUUCCCCCAUACCCGAUUGUUGUGACCAGAUAACGGAUCCCAGGAGCCAGACGACACCACUGAUGACUACUACUACCCGGAGGAUGCCUACUACUACGUGAAGACUGCAGAUGACUAGGAGUAGUUAGGAGGCUCCCAGGCAAGAGGUCUUGCCUUUUCGAUCUUUGCUGCUUUUGUGCUAGCCUUCUUAAGGCAAUCUUGUUUAACUCAUGUCUGUACUCAGAUAUUGUUGCUUCCGCUGACUCUUGUGUUUUCGAGCUUAUGUAUUCGAGCCCUCGAGGCCCC